CUUAGCCUCAACAGCAAAGCAAAAGGCUUAGUGGAUUUGACCUUACUGACCGCGUUGGUUUUUCAAUUGGGUUAGUUCAUCACAAUGACAAGCCACAGCAUUAGCCUUCUUAUUGCCAUGGUGUUAUCGCUGGGCAUUUUCAUCGUCACGCUGGUGUUUAGUUUUCUGGCAGCACGAGGACAAUAUCCCUUUUUGGAGACCACUGGCAAUAUUUCGGACGCAUUUGCCACCCAGAUAACACCAUCUGGAUGGACCUUCAUCAUUUGGACCUUUAUUUAUAUCUUUCUUGCUCUUGUGAUGGUCUAUGCCUUUGCAGGCCUCUGCAGAAGAAAUGCACUCGGCCUGAUGUACUGCUACCCACCGGUUCUGUCACAUGGCUUCUACCUGACUUGGUGCUUGAAUUUUGGCUUCAAUAUCGGAUGGUUGUUUGUGUGGGACAGAAGGCUGGUGUCUGUCGCUCUGGCCUUCCUCAUUGUGGUGACUUUGACCAACUUCGUCAUGAUAUUCUUCUCAUGCUAUGGCCUUCACACUUACGGCGCCUGGCUCCAUAAAUUCCAUAGGGUUGACCUUUGGCUCGUGCGUGUGUUGGUUCAAAACGGUAUAGCCAUGUACGCAACGUGGACCACCAUCGCGAGCCUCCUCAACCUGGCCAUUGUGCUCAACACGUAUGCAAGCCUGUCCCUAACAUCUGCCGCCACGAUCUCACUCGCCAUUUUGGUCGUGGUGGUGUUAGUAUGGUUUGUCCUGGAAAAUUUCUUUUUGGAUAAACACGUGCGCUACAUCCUGAUCAUCUACCCCGUCGUCAUCUGGGCACUGACUGGAUCCUACACCAAAAACUAUGAUGCCGAAUCGCCCAGUCAAACUGGAAUAUUUGCUGUGGUUGUGCUGGCAACGGCCUGCGUUCUGUUUGCCACCCGUAUCAUUCUGGUUGUGUGGCGUCACAUCAAGAGUCCGAUCUACAGGCAAAAUAGUGUAGAGCUCAGAUUGCCCGUGGACAUAAUCAACAGUCAAAGAAAUAUAUUGCUCAAGUAAGGGCGCUCACUGCACUGCUUUUGUGUGACACUAUGUGUGAGUUUUGCUUGGGAAAUGUGGUUUUUGCAAGUUUGGAAAAUGUUUUGAUGUCAGUGAUUUUUUUCUUUUUUGUAUGACCAUCCAUAAUGAAUGCACUUUUUCUUAUACGAUGUGUUACAUGUUUGUUAGUACUAUACGACAAAUUGUGACAACUUGUGACAACUUUCAUAAUAUCUGCAGGGUGGGCCAAAAGUAUGGAUACAUACUUUAAAUUCACUUUUUUAGGCUACCAUGAAUAAUGAAAACUAGUCAAGAACAAAUUAAGUAGCUUCUAGGAUUGGGCAGGUACCGUAGGACAAAAGUUGGAAGUAAGGCAGCCAGGAAGGAACAUAUAUAUUCAGAAUGUUCCAGCAUACAUUUUGCUCGUAGCGAAUGCAACUUGGAGCAUUUAAAUUGCACUUUAUUCUUCAUGUUUACUGAAUGCAUGUCGCAUUAUGAUUGAGUGCAUUUUAAUUUAGGAGAUACUAUAUGUCAAAUGUGUUUUUGUUUCUGCAGUUCAGUUGAAUUCUUAUAAAAGUGAUGAUUACAAAAAAAAUCAGAUUUCAAGAGGUGAGUCUAUUUGCAUGGUAAUUGUC